CUUCACCAGAUUUCCCGUUCCCUGCUCCACGGCCCAUCAAAGCCUUAAAACCUCUUCUUUUUUUCCUUUGUUCAGUGAUGAGGUUUUCUUCAGCUUUUGUUUUACUUUUAUCCUUUCUCUAAAAUGAUGCUAUAUGCCUAUACGUCCUUUCCUUUUUCCCUAAACAUUUUAUUUCGGUUUGGUAGCAUCAGCCGGGUCACAUUUUCAUCUCCUCCUUUUGCAUCUUUUUCCUUUUGACCAGACAGUGCAAGGAGAUUAUGAAAUAUUCAGAAUUCUGGAAGGGUCUCCCCUACGCACUGGUAUCUCAGCGUUCCUGUUAAACUCACAGAUCUUCAAUGUCUUGCCAGAAGUCCGGUUUUCAAUCUCUACCUAGAUUCUUUCUUACCCAUCACAGCAUGGAUUUCGGUGCAGUGCCACCCUCUCAGCCUGGCAACCAAGGCCUCAGCCUGCAUUUCCAGCUCCUGCUGCUCCCUGCCGCGGCCGCGGCCAAUCCGAGCCUCCAGUUCGCCAGACUAACCUUCAAUGGAUCUGUUCAUGUUGGACAAAUGGAAACGAUCCCACCGAGUGUAUAAGGAGGAAAUACGCCUUACUCUCUCCACCCGGACUUGACGAAGACAACCCAGACAUCGUGGCUAUUAAUGUAUCCAUCCUGCUCUUCGCACUUCUAUACCACCAAAUUCCAUUUUGGGAGGACCUGGGGUCCCAGGCCAGAGUUGAGCUGCCGCACCAGCAUCUGAGUCCUGCAAGUUUCCAGAUACAUACAAACAAGUAUGAGGUUGCUGUGAGAGUCC
rnacentral:lncRNA from 1 species